AUUGAACGCUGGCGGCAGGCUUAACACAUGCAAGUCGAGCGGAGAGAGGUAGCUUGCUACUGAUCUUAGCGGCGGACGGGUGAGUAAUGCUUAGGAAUCUGCCUAUUAGUGGGGGACAACAUUUCGACAGGAAUGCUAAUACCGCAUACGUCCUACGGGAGAAAGCAGGGGAUCUUCGGACCUUGCGCUAAUAGAUGAGCCUAAGUCGGAUUAGCUAGUUGGUGGGGUAAAGGCCUACCAAGGCGACGAUCUGUAGCGGGUCUGAGAGGAUGAUCCGCCACACUGGGACUGAGACACGGCCCAGACUCCUACGGGAGGCAGCAGUGGGGAAUAUUGGACAAUGGGCGCAAGCCUGAUCCAGCCAUGCCGCGUGUGUGAAGAAGGCCUUAUGGUUGUAAAGCACUUUAAGCGAGGAGGAGGCUACUUUAGUUAAUACCUAGAGAUAGUGGACGUUACUCGCAGAAUAAGCACCGGCUAACUCUGUGCCAGCAGCCGCGGUAAGAC
rnacentral:rRNA from 1 species